GAUGAAGAACGUAGCGAAAUGCGAUAAGUAGUGUGAAUUGCAGAAUUCAGUGAAUCAUCGAAUCUUUGAACGCACAUUGCGCCCCUUGGUAUUCCAUGGGGCAUGCCUGUUCGAGCGUCAUUUGUACCUUCAAGCUUUGCUUGGUGUUGGGUGUUUGUCCAUUCUCUUGCAGAGGGACUCGCCUUAAAGUAAUUGGCAGCCAGUGUUUUGGUUUUGAAGCGCAGCACAAGUCACGAUUCAAAGCUAUACGCCCGCUUCCACAAGCCUUUUUCACUUUUGACCUCGGAUCAGGUAGGGAUACCCGCUGAACUUAAGCAUAUCAAUAAGCGGAGGA
rnacentral:misc_RNA from 1 species